rnacentral:rRNA from 1 species
UACGAAGGGUGCAAACGUUGCUCGGAAUUAUUGGGCGUAAAGCGCACGUAGGCGGCUUUGCAAGUCCCAUGUGAAAUCCCACGGCUCAACCGUGGAAGUGCAUGGGAAACUGCAGAGCUUGAGUACUUAAGAGGAUCGCGGAAUUCCCGGUGUAGAGGUGAAAUUCGUAGAUAUCGGGAGGAACACCAGUGGCGAAGGCGGCGAUCUGGGAAGAUACUGACGCUGAGGUGCGAAAGCGUGGGGGAGCAAACAGG